ACUCCUACGGGAGGCAGCAGUGGGGAAGUCUUGGACAAUGGGCGCAAGCCUGAUCCAGCCAUGCCGCGUGAGCGAUGAAGGCCUUAGGGUCGUAAAACUCUUUCGCCAGGGAUGAUAAUGACAGUACCUGGUAAAGAAACCCCGGCUAACUCCGUGCCAGCAGCCGCGGUAAUACGGAGGGGUUAGCGUUGUUCGGAAUUACUGGGGCGUAAAGCGCGCGUAGGCGGACUAGUUAGUCAGAGGUGAAAUCCCGGGGCUCAACCCCGGAACUGCCUUUUGAUACUGCUAGUCUUGAGUUCGAGAGAGGUGAGUGGAAUUCCGAGUGUAGAGGUGAAAUUCGUAGAUAUUCGGAGGAACACCAGUGGCGAAGGCGGCUCACUGGCUCGAUACUGACGCUGAGGUGCGAAAGUGUGGGGAGCAAACAGGAUUAGAUACCCUGGUAGCGACUGA
rnacentral:rRNA from 1 species